UGAACGCUAGCUACAGGCUUAACACAUGCAAGUCGAGGGGCAGCAUUUCAGUUUGCUUGCAAACUGGAGAUGGCGACCGGCGCACGGGUGAGUAACACGUAUCCAACCUGCCGAUAACUCGGGGAUAGCCUUUCGAAAGAAAGAUUAAUACCCGAUGGUAUAAUCAGACCGCAUGGUCUUGUUAUUAAAGAAUUUCGGUUAUCGAUGGGGAUGCGUUCCAUUAGGCAGUUGGUGAGGUAACGGCUCACCAAACCUUCGAUGGAUAGGGGUUCUGAGAGGAAGGUCCCCCACAUUGGAACUGAGACACGGUCCAAACUCCUACGGGAGGCAGCAGUGAGGAAUAUUGGUCAAUGGGCGCAGGCCUGAACCAGCCAAGUAGCGUGAAGGAUGACUGCCCUAUGGGUUGUAAACUUCUUUUAUAUGGGAAUAAAGUUUUCCACGUGUGGAAUUUUGUAUGUACCAUAUGAAUAAGGAUCGGCUAACUCCGUGCCGGCAGCCGCGGUAAUACGGAGGAUCCGAGCGUUAUCCGGAUUUAUUGGGUUUAAAGGGAGCGUAGGUGGACAGUUAAGUCAGUUGUGAAAGUUUGCGGCUCAACCGUAAAAUUGCAGUUGAUACUGGCUGUCUUGAGUACAGUAGAGGUGGGCGGAAUUCGUGGUGUAGCGGUGAAAUGCUUAGAUAUCACGAAGAACUCCGAUUGCGAAGGCAGCUCACUGGACUGCAACUGACACUGAUGCUCGAAAGUGUGGGUAUCAAACAGGAUUAGAUACCCUGGUAGUCCACACAGUAAACGAUGAAUACUCGCUGUUUGCGAUAUACAGUAAGCGGCCAAGCGAAAGCAUUAAGUAUUCCACCUGGGGAGUACGCCGGCAACGGUGAAACUCAAAGGAAUUGACGGGGGCCCGCACAAGCGGAGGAACAUGUGGUUUAAUUCGAUGAUACGCGAGGAACCUUACCCGGGCUUAAAUUGCAUUUGAAUAUAUUGGAAACAGUAUAGCCGUAAGGCAAAUGUGAAGGUGCUGCAUGGUUGUCGUCAGCUCGUGCCGUGAGGUGUCGGCUUAAGUGCCAUAACGAGCGCAACCCUUAUCUUUAGUUACUAACAGGUCAUGCUGAGGACUCUAGAGAGACUGCCGUCGUAAGAUGUGAGGAAGGUGGGGAUGACGUCAAAUCAGCACGGCCCUUACGUCCGGGGCUACACACGUGUUACAAUGGGGGGUACAGAAGGCAGCUACCUGGUGACAGGAUGCUAAUCCCAAAAGCCUCUCUCAGUUCGGAUCGAAGUCUGCAACCCGACUUCGUGAAGCUGGAUUCGCUAGUAAUCGCGCAUCAGCCAUGGCGCGGUGAAUACGUUCCCGGGCCUUGUACACACCGCCCGUCAAGCCAUGAAAGCCGGGGGUACCUGAAGUACGUAACCGCAAGGAGCGUCCUAGGGUAAAACUGGUAAUUGGGGC
rnacentral:rRNA from 1 species